UUCUAAUAGUUUUAAUUAUUAGUAAAAUCUGCUCAAUGACUUUAAAUAGCCGCAAUUAUUUUGUGCUAAGGUAGCAUAAUCACUCGUCUUUUAAUUAAAGACUAGAAUGAAAGAUUUAACAUUCCUAUAUCUCUUUCAAAACUAACAUUUACAACUUAUUUUAAAUAUUAAAAAAUAUUUAUAAAAAAGAAAGACGACAAGACCCUAUCGAACUAAACUGAAGUUUAGCUGGGGCAGCUAAUUAAUUAAAAUUUUAAUUAAAAUAAAAAAACAAUCAGACCCAAUAACAAUUGAUUACAUGAUCAAGUUACCGUAGGGAUAACAGCGUAAUCUUCUUUUAAAGCUCUUAUUAAAAAGAAACGAUUGCGACCUCGAUGUUGAAUAAUAUAUCUAUUUCACGCAACAGUGAAUUAAUAGUUUGUCUGUUCGACAAUUAAAAUAUUACA
rnacentral:rRNA from 1 species